CAGUUUUUUUGGGUACUUGUGUUUUGAUUGCAACAUAUGUCUGGCACGUGCAACAGCAACAAGACGAUUCAAAAGCACCAUUUAAAGAUAUAUCGUCCACGAGUCAUGAUAUGUUUACCCGGAUGGAGUUCAUAAUAUUCAUGGGAGGUGUAAUAGCCGUGUUGUUUUACGUGUUACAACCACCUGUUAGUAGUAGGAAUAUAAAUAAUCUUAGUUAUGUUGGACUAGACAAGAUUGUAAGGAAACUAUUACAGAACAAAGUCAGUUGAUAAAUGUUUAGAGGGAGUUUGUUAAUUUAAAUGAUUUAGUAUAUUAUUUUUGAGGGAACUUUUAUAAAUAAAACAAGAUUUUUUCUGUUUUA